UCUCUAGUAGCUCAGUGGUAGAGCGGAUGGCUGUUAACCAUUAGGUCGUUGGUUCAAAUCCAACCUGGGGAG